AGGACGAACGCUGGCGGCGUGCUUAACACAUGCAAGUCGAGCGGAAAGGCCUUUCGGGGUACUCGAGCGGCGAACGGGUGAGUAACACGUGAGUAAUCUGCCCAUCGCUUCAGGAUAGCCAUCGGAAACGGUGAUUAAUACUGGAUAUGACAUUCCUUCGCAUGUUGGGGUGUGGAAAGUUUUUUCGGCGGUGGAUGUGCUCGCGGCCUAUCAGCUUGUUGGUGGGGUAAUGGCCUACCAAGGCUUUGACGGGUAGCCGGCCUGAGAGGGUGACCGGCCACGACUGGGACUGGAGACACGGCCCAGACUCCUACGGGAGGCAGCAGUGGGGAAUAUUGGACAAUGGGCGGAAGCCUGAUCCAGCAACGCCGCGUGAGGAUGACGGCCUUCGGGUUGUAAACCUCUUUCAGCACGAGACGUAAGUUUUGCGUUUUUUGGUGAAGUGACGGUAUGUGCGAGAAGAAGGACCGGCAACUACGUGACCAGCAGCCGCGGUAAUCGUAGAG
rnacentral:rRNA from 1 species